GUCCUGUUAGCUCAAUUGGAUAGAGCAAGAUGUUUCUACCGUCUAGGUUAUAGGUUCGAAUCCUAUACGGGAUG
rnacentral:tRNA from 1 species